rnacentral:lncRNA from 1 species
GAUUUUCUCGGACCCUCUUACUUUUGUAAUGCCUAAGAGAUAUUUUACUUAUUGACAGUAAGUUGAUAUUGGUCAUGUUUGUUAUUUUGAAAACACCCUUGUUAUUUAGUACUAUACUGCACCUUUAUGAGGUUGUUAUUAAUAACUUAGUGUAUAUAUUAGAGAGAGAGAGGGAGACUGUGUGGUGAGUUGGCGGACCCAGUACAGUGCCGGGACUGAAUAUAAUUUGUCUUUAGUCUUGAUAUUUUCACUGGUAGACUUCAGGUAAUGUUCAAUUAAACUUCUGCAUGAUAGUUAACUCAGAUAACAUACAGUAAUUAUUUACUAGUUUCGUUUCGUUCCUCAAUAUUCGGGUUUCGGAUUUCAUUGCGGGCGAUAAAAACAAAGUACCCAACAUGAAAACAGCUGAUUCUUAUACGUUUACGUCAUUUUUGCUAAUAAAAGAGGCGAAGUUAAAGAAUACACACACCCGGUAUGUAGUGUAAGGGGUUAGGGUUACGUCGAAAACGGGUGGUGUGCGUGGAGAUAGAUAGAUAUUCACACUUGUCAUUUCUCAAUUCUGAGUUCAAACCCCAGUUGUAUCGUCUCUUGUGUUAACCACGGUUUUAACCACUCUAGGGACUAAUAAAAUGGUGGUGAGUUGUCGGACACGGUGCAGUGCCGGGACUUAAUACACUUCGUCGUAAUAUUAAGUGUUGAUAUCCACCGUUAGUAGGAUAUAAAGGUUGUCCUAUCGUAUUCAAUCUUGUCAUUUUUACGGUCUGAGUUCAAGCCAUGUUAAAGAGACUUUUACAGCAUAGAUAACUAAAACGGCAUAGAGACUUUAUUUAGUUUUAUUUCGUUCCUCGAUAUUCGGGUUUCGAACCUUGCUGCAGGUAAUGAAAGUCGAUAUCAAGCAUAAGAAAAACCGGCAAUCCUAAAUGUGUAUUCGAGCGUGUAUUUCACUCAUCAGCUGGUUCGUGGACAUAAAAGACAAUGAGUACGCGAGUGUGGACCGCGUAUGUUUACCUUUUUUUUUUUAGAAGUAUGCAUGUUUGUGUGUAUAUAUAUAUAUAUAUAUACAAAAAAAUUUUUUUACAAAAUAGGCGCAUGGUUCCGGGUUCAGUCCCACUGCGUGAUACCUUGGGCAAGUGUCUUCUACUAUAGACUCGGGCCGACCAAAAGCCUUGUGAGUGGGAUUGGUAGACGGAAACUGAAAGAAGCGCGUCGUAUAUAUGUAUAUGUGUAUAUAUAUAUAACGGGAAGGUUUACGAAAAUAAACAAAAGACGAAGGCAGGUGGAGUACAAACAAACAAAUGUAUUAGUAUGGCGCUCAGGAACAGAAAUAGAACAAGUCUUUUACGUUUCGAGCCUACGCUCUUCGACAGAAAGAUACACAGAAAAAAAAACAAGGAGAGAAAAAAAUGCGUGUAGGAGCUAACGAUCUAUCAUGUGUGUGUGUUUGUGUGUCUGUGUUUGCCCCCACCCCCAACAUCGCUUGACAACAGAUGCUGGUGUGUUUACGUCUCCGUAACUUAGCGGUUCGGCAAAAGAGACCGAUAGAAUAAGUACUUGGCUUACAAAGAAUAAGUCCUGGGGGCGAUUUCCUCAACUAAAGGCGGUGCUUCAGCAUGGCCGCAGUCAAAUGACUGAAACAAGUAAAAGAGUAAAUUGCCGAUUUUCAUUUUCGCUUUGGCGAAACCAUCUCCGAAGGACACCUCUAUUCUUAUAAGUUCCCGUCACUAUGCCAAUGAAAGAAAAAUAUUAAGACUUGUCAUUUCUCAAUUCUAGGCUUAAAUUCCUUUGGCAUUAACCACUCCAAGGUAUUGAUAAAAUAGUUAAUUAAUAUGCUACACAGUGUCACCCUUUCCUCUACAAAUACAUAUAUACAUAAAUGUAUAUAUGUAUAUACACAUACAUAUGGCUGUACAUAUAUACACACACGCACGCACAUCAAUUCUUCCGCUUCGCAUCAACUUCAAGAGAGUUGUAAGAUCGCCCAAUAUUACAUGAGCACUUUAUAACGUUUCUUUCUUUGCUGGCAACUCGCCGCGGACUACCACUUUGAGAAGCUCUGGUCUGUUAUACCCGUUCAGUGCUUAAAGGGAGAUAAUUCUUAACGCAUGGAAGAGUUAUCUAUCUUGAUAUAUUUUAUUUAUUUAUUAAAAUAUAUUUGCAAAAUAAUCCUUUCUAAUUUAGGCACAAAGCCUGGAGUUUGGUGGGAGAGGGUGCCAGUUGAUUAGAUCGACUUCAGUACACAACUGGUACUUAAUUUAUCGACCCCGAAAGGAUGAGAGGCAAAGUUGAACGUAGCGACGGGUGAAAUACCUAUUUCUUUACUACCCACAAGGGGCUAAACACAGUGAGGACAAACAAGGACAGACAAACGGAUUAAGUCGAUUAUACCGACCCCAGUACGUAACUGGUACUUAAUUUAUCAACCCCCGAAAGGAUGAAAGGCAAAGUGAACCUCGGCGGAAUUUGAACCCAGAACGUAGCGGCAGACGAAAUACCGCAAAGCAUUUCGUCCAGCUUGCUAACGAUUCUGUCAGCUCGCCUCUUUAUUUAUUUGUGAAAUAAUAAUCUCAGAUCCAUCUUCGCUAUGUCUUCAGAACGGUAAAACGAAAUGGUUGGCAUCUCUCAUUUGUAGUGAAUUUAUAUUCUACCAAACAUAAUACUAAUAAUUGUUUCUACUAUAGACACAAGGCCUGGAAUUUGUGGGUCAGGUGGAUAGUCGAUUACAUCGACCCCAGUAUUUGACUGGUACUUAAAUUUAUCGAUACUGAAAGGAUGAAAAGCAAAGUCGACCUCGGCGGAAUUUGAACGCAGAGCUAAGCAUUUCGCCCAGCUCACUGCCUUAGUAAUAAUAAUUCUUUCUGCUAUAGGUAGAAGGCUAACAAUUUUGAAGAGAGGGGAGGCAGUUGAUAUUUUAUUUUAUCAAACCCCAUAAAGGUGUUUGGCAAAGAUGACCCCAACGGGAUUUGAACUCAGAACUUCAAGUGUUGUACGAUUUACUACUAGACAUUACUCCAACGUUCUAACAAUUCUGCCAAUAAAAUGUUUCUGAUUUAGACUCAAUGCCAACAGAUUUGACAGGAAGGGUUUUGUUCAUUCCAUCGACCCCAGUACUUGACUGGUACUUUAUUUUAUGGACCUAAAAGGAGGAAAUACAAAGUUGGCCUGGUUGGGAUUUGAUCCCAGAAGGUAAAGAUCUGGAAGGCAUUUUUGUCUCAUGCUUUAAUCAUUCUACCAAUUCGCUACCUUUAUCGCCCUGCUGCUUUCCUCUCGCUGGGGAAGAAAGGCAGUGUUCCUCUGUCUGGUGGCUAUGGCAAAGGAAGUUGCAUGGUGGAUGAGACUGAAAGGACUGAAGACUGAUAUUUUCCUUUUCGGCUGAGCCCUUGUCGAAGUUUUCAAGUGAGAGUUGAGAGGGAAGUUCUGCCCCACCCCCAGUAAAUUUGUUGAAAGGUGGGUGAAUGUGGUGAGGAUGGCUCGUGUAAAUGGGCCUACUCUGAACCUUUGUUAACUGGAGAAGUUGAGAUGGAGAGAAGUGCCUGCUGAGGUGCAUCUGGCAAACGGGAUAACCAGAAUGUGUGGGGUUCCUCAGUUGUCUCUGUAAGGGACUCCCCAUUUUAGGGGGAUUUUAUUGUUUAAUUGUAUUGUUAAUUGCCAUUGUCUGUUUUGUGUUUGGCCAUUAUAACCAAUAAAGAAACUGUUAUUAUUAUUAUUAUUAUUAUUAUUAUUGGGUAACCGUGUAUUUUCUUUGCGGUAGUAUACCUGUUUCUGUCUUCAUUCCUGAUCUUUCUCUCUCCAGCCAGGUAACCUUGUACUUCCUCUACAGCAAGACACCUGUAUCUGUCUCACUAUAACCUUUUAUUCACCACCUCCUUCAAUGCUUCCUCUCCUCUUAAAAGAUUUUGUUUUGCAAGUACUUGGUGACCUUGUCAGUGCAGGUGCCACUUAAAAGCACCCGGUCCACACUGUAAAGUGGUUGGUGUUCGGAAGGGCAUCCAGCUGUAAAAACCUUACCAAAACUGACCUCACCUGUGCUUGUGCCACAUAAAAAGCACUAAAUCCACUCUGCUGAGUGGUUGGUGUUAGGAAGGGACCCAGGUGUAAAAACCUUGCCAAAACUGACCUCACCUGUGCUUGUGCCACAUAAAAAGCACUAAGUCCACUCUGCUGAGGGGUUGGUGUUAGGAAGGGACCCAGCUGUUAAUUCCUGCCGAAACAGUCACAGAAGCCUGGUGCAGGCUUUGGCCUGGCCGGCUCUUGUAGUACUAUCCCACCCCUGCUAACAUGGAACAUGGACGUUUAAUAAUGAUGAUGAUGAUUAAGAUAAUUAACUGGCAGAAUUGUUUGCACAUCAGGCGAAAUGCAUAGUAGCAUAUUUUCCAGCUCUUUACAAUCUGGUUUAAAUUCCACCAAGGUCAUCUCUGCUGUUCUUCCAUUUGGAGUCAAUAAAAUAAGCAUCAGUUAAACCCUGGAGUUGAUGUAAUCAAGUAUCAUCAUCCCCUAAAAUGUCACGCUUUGUGUCCAUAAUAGAAAGGGUUCUUCUUCUUCUUCCUCCUCCCUUCUUUUUCUUCUUGAAUGAGAGAGCAGUGCAUGCCAUUAAAAUGACACUGGGGUAAAAUAUAUACGAAGCCCAGCAUACCCAUCGUGACUACCCACCUGAUAAGGGUACACCAGGCACAUGCAUCACAACCCAAUGUGCAUAAUAUGGUGAUCUGAUAUUAAGACAAACAACGCAUGCUCUUGCAGGUGGGGCCCAGUUAGAAUUUUCUUCAGGUUGUGUAACCCAUCUUGCUCAAAAGGUCCCUGAAUAAGGGUUGUUUAAGGAUGAUGAACAAAACACCCAUGUUUCCAGAAGUGUAUCAUUCAAACUCCGAAGAAUUCUUCUCAACACAUGGCUAUGAUGCUCCCUCACUAUUUCUGCUCAUGAUCAAAGAUGCACAUAUUUUCAGCCACCAAGGGACAUGCUCAACUGGUUACGGUCAAACAACUACUGAAAAGCAAAUUUGUGGUAUUGAGCAGAACAUUUGCUGUUGUCCAUCUUUUAUACCAAGAGAAAUCAAUAUGAUAACGCUUCCAAUUGGUUAAGAUCAGAAGCCAUGAGAGACACUGCCUGGCACUGCAUCAGUGCUAUUAUCAUUAUUAUUAUUAUUAAGACGGCAAGCUAGCAGAACAGUUCACAUGCUGGGCAAAAUGCUUUGCUGCAUGUUGCCUGUCUUUACAUUCUGAGUUCAAAUGCUGCUGGGUCGACUUUGCCUUUCAUCUGUUUAGGUCGAUGAAAUAAGUACCAGUUAUGCACUGGUGUCUGUGUAAUCAACUAUCCCCACCCAAAAUUUCAAACCUUUUUCUAUAGUAGAAAGGAUUAUUAUUAUUAUUAUUAUUAUUAUUAUUACUACUACUACAGUGGUGAGCUAGCAGAAUUGUUAACACACCAGGUGAAAUGCUUAGAGGUAUUUCAUCUGCCACUAUGUUCUGUGUUCAAACUCUGCCGAGGUCGACUUUGCCUUUCAUCCUUUCAGGGGUGAUGAAAUAAGUACCAGUUACGCACUGGGCCAAUGUAAUCGACUAGCCCCUUUCCUCCCAAAAUUUUCAAGGCCUUGUGCCUAGAGUAGAAAUAAAGGUGGCAAGCUGGCACAAAUUCUUAGCACACUGGAUAAGAUGCUUAGCAGUAUUUCGCUUAUUGCUAUGUUCUGAGUUCAAAUUCCACCAAGGUCAACUUUGCCUUUCAUCCUUUCAAGGUCGAUAAAAUAAGAACCAGCUGAAGACUGGGGUCGAUGUAUUUGACUCAUCACCCACUCCCAAAAUUACUGCCGUUGUGGCUAAAUUUGUAACCAUUAUUAUUAUUAUUAUUAUUAUUAUUAAGGUAACUAUUUUGCUGCACUAUCAGUAUGUCAGGGGAAACGCAUUGCGGUAUAUUUUCCAGCCAUUUAGAAACCUGAUUUCAAAUUCUACUGAUGUCAUCUUUGCUUUUCAUCCUUUCAGGGUCGAUAAGAUCCAUACUAGUUCAGUACUAGCCCAUUGCUCACUCCCCCUACAUAUUUACCUGCUUAAUUCCCUCCACUUUUUUGCCCCCUUUUCUAUUUCUUUGUUUCCUAGUAUUUAAAUUACAAUAAAUGAAAAUGUUUUAUUUUGCAAUUUAGCAUGUAUUAUUAUCGUUGUUUAGUGAGUACUUCCUUGUGUUUGCAUGGGUUGGAUGUGGAGGUACAUGGCCUAGUGGUUAGAGCAGUGGACUCGCAGUCGAGGGAUCGUAAGGUUGAAUCUCAGACCAGGCGAUGUGUGUGUUUAUGAGCGAAACACCUAAGCUCCACGCAGCUCUAGCAGAAGGUAAUGGCGAAACUUCUGCUGACUCUUUUGCCACAACUUUCUCUCACUCUUUCCUCCUGCAUCUUGCAGCUCACCUGCGAUGGAUCGGCAUCCUGUCCAGGUGGGGAACCUAUACGCCAAGAAACCGGGAAACCGGCUCUUAUGAGCCAGGCAUGGCUCGAGAAGGAACAACCAUGGGUUGGAUGGAAAUUGUUCUGGCAGAUUUAUGGCCUGAUGCUCUUCCUGUUGCCAAUCCUCACAUUUUUUUUUCCAAGUACAACUACACACAUACAUACGUAUAUACACACACACAGACAAACACACACAAGAAUUCUUUCAGUUUCCGGUCUCUCAAAUUCACUGACCAGGCUUUUGUCAAGCUGAGAAUAUUACAGAAGACACUUGCCCAAGGGGUUGCACUGUGAGACUGAACUCAAGUCCACAUGGUUGGUAAUCAAACUUCUUAACCCCACAACUACACAUAACAUACACAUAUAUGUAUGUGUAUAUCAUGAUUAGUAUAUAUUAACACGCACGUUUAUCAGAGUGUAUAAAUGCCCUUCCUAACAUGUAAGAAGUCUUAUCGAUGGCCUUCUCUUCACAUGUUUACACACUCUGAUAAACAAAUAUUUUACGUCUUAUGACAUGCAGCCUUCUGGCUUGCCAGCCCUCAGUCAAACUGUCCAACCCAUGCCAGCAUGGAAAGCAGACAUUAAACUACAAUAAUGAUGACGAUGCAAACCAUCUGGUAAUAAAUUAUUUAAUAAUUUUUACCUUUAUAUUUAUAUUGACAUACAUGUAUAUGUUUGUACAUUCUACUCUGAAAUAUAAAUUGUUCUUUCUCUUCUAUCUCCUCUACUUUUGAUCCAUAGUUUCUGAAAAGUGAUGUCUGCUUAUACAGAAAAUUUAACCUUAUUACUUAACGUUCUACAACGAAGACUUUGAUCGUUUAGUCUCAAAGUCUCUCUUCUCCUUUUCUCUAAAUUCAUUUCACUUUCUGCACCGAAUGUUUCCAUCUCCUCUCUCUCUCUCUCUCUCUCUCUCUCAUUCCUUGGUCACUUCAACAGAUACAAGGGGGUGUUCAAAAGUUCAUAGCUUUGGGUAAAAGAAAAUACAGGAGGGUCAGUUAAUUAUGAUUUCCUCCAACAUAUUUCCCUCUCAGAUUCAUACACUUAUUGCAGCAGUCCUUCAGCUUUUCUAAGCCCUUUAAAAGAACUUGGAAAGUUGGGCCUCCAAUCAGGCCUUUCGCGAAACCUUUAGAGCCCGGAGCUUUUCAGCACCCCCUCAUACAUGUCUCUUCCUGGCUAUCACUUUGAUCCUGCACUCCUGCUUCAGGCACUUUCCCCUGAAAUUUCUGAUCAGCCUGUUCCACUAAUUAUCCACUUGGAGACUCACCACCACUGCUGCCAUCACCAUAGAUUUUAAACUUUUUUUGUCCCUUAACCACUGACAAAAGCGUAUACCUAUUCUAGAGUUAGACCAGGGUUUCUCAACUUUUUUUUUGCCUUUGAUUCUUAUCUGACCCCUUUCAUUCUUAUGACCCCAUUCAUUCCUAUUUGACUCCUUUCAUUUUUAUUUGAUCCCUUUCAUUCCUAUCUGACCCCUUUCAUUCUUAUCUGACCCCUUCCUAUUUGACCCCUUUCAUUCCUAUUUGACCCCUUUCAUUCUUAUUUGACCCCUUUCAUUCUUAUUUGACCCCUUCCAUUCCUGUUUAACCCCUUCCAUUCCUAUUUGAUCCCUUCCAUUCUUAUUUGACCCCUUUCAUUCUUAUUUGACCCCUUCCAUUCCUGUUUGACCCCUUCCAUUCCUGUUUUAGCCCUUUCAUUCCUGUUUGAUCGCCUUCCUUCCUAUUUAACUUGAGUGGACCCCGUAGCCAUUUUGAUGCUUAAAAAAUAUUUUUAUAAUUAAAUUUUAUGAGAUAUUGUGUUUAAAAAAAUAUGUCAAAAUAUUUUGUGAAUUGUAGAAGUAAACUGAAUUAAUGCACAUGAAUUUUUGGCAACAAAAUCUUAUGUGGACCCCCAAGGGACCCCAUUGACCCCAGUUGAGAACCACUGUUUGACAACACUACCCAACUUACCACACACACACACAUAUACAUGUCCUUGAAAUGUCAAACAAAAUUCUUAAAAAAUACAAAUUGCCACUCACACAUACACUGGCAAUUACACACACACACACACACACACACACACACACACACACACACACAGAGUUAUUUGUCCAAAGUACUACUCUUGAAAGAACAGAUGUUCUCACAAAACAAUCCCCACUAAAAAUUCACUUAUUUAUGAAAAAUAUCAUCCAUUAGAGAUAUAGCCAGUAGACACAGAGUUAAUUGUUGUUUCAAAUACACCUGUUCAAAAAGCAUUCAAUUAAAAGAAAAAAAUGCUUACAUAAUCACACACACACUCACACACACGUGUAAAAAAGAUACUAAGCAAAAAUUAAUACAUAAAUGAAAAUACUCACCAUUAACAAAUUAAUAACACAAAUUAAUAACAUGACAUGAACACAUACAUACACACAAUCCAUCAUCAUCAUUAUUAUCAUUUAAUGUCUGUUGUCCAUGCUGGCAUGGGUUGGACAGUUUGACCGGGGCUGGUAAGCUGGAAGGCUGUACUGGACUCCAGUCUGAUUGGGCAUGGUUUUCUAUGGCUGGAUGCCCUUCCUAAUGCUAACCACUCCAAGAGUGUAAUGGGUGUUUUUACAUGCCACCGGCACAGGUGCCAUUUGCAUGACACCAGUGUCUGCCACGACUGCGAUCACGACAUAAUUCCAAAGGUCUCAGUCAUUGCUUCCAUGAGGCCCAACACUCAGGAACUCAGCCACUUUGCCUCCAUGAGGCCCAACACUUGAAAUUAACUCAGCCACUUUGCCUUUAUGAGGCCCAACGCUAUUUAUAAAUAUAUAUGAUGGACUUCUUUCAGUUUCCAUCCACUCCCAGGGCUUUGAUCAGCCCAAGGCUAUCAGUAGGCGCCUAGUCAAGGUACCACACACUGGGACCGAAACCAGAACCUUGCUGUUGAAAAGCAAAUUUUUUACUCCACAGCUAAUCUAUAUACAAAAUUUAACAAUGUAAAUAUAUUUAGAAAUAUGCUUAAAAAAAGUUUGAUGAGAAAAGUGCUUACACAGCCAAGUACUUAUUCUGUUGGUUUCUUUUUGCUGGACUGCUAAGUUACGUGGACGUAAACACAACACCAUUGGUUGUCAAAUGAUGUUGGGGGAACAAACACAGACACACAAACAUAUACACAUACACACACACAUAUAUAUAUAUAUAUAUAUAUAUACACACACACACACACACACAUAUAUACGACGGGCUUCUUUCAGUUUCCGUCUACCAAAUCCACUCAUAAGGCUUUGGUCGGCCCAAGGCUAUAGUAGAAGACACUUGCCCAAGGUGGCAGGUUCAGUCCCACCAUGUAGCACUUUGGAAAAUUGUCUUCUACUAUUGCUUUGGGCCGACCACAGCCUUGUGAGUGGAUUUGGUAGAUGGAAACUGAAAGAAGCCUGUCGUAUAUGUGUGUGUAUAUACAUAUAUGUGUGUGUGUGUGUGUGUGUGUGUGUGUAUGUUUGUAUGUCUGUGUUUGUCCCCUGCCCACCAUCACUUGACAACUGAUGCUGGUGUGCUUAUAUCCCCGUAACUUAGCAGUUCGGCAAAAAGAAACCGAUAGAAUAAGUACUAGGUUUACAAAGAAUAAGUCAAUUUGCUCGACUAAAGGCGGUGCUCCAGCAUGACCACAGUCAAAAGACUGAAACAAGUAAAAGAGUAAAAAAGACAUUAUAAAAACAUCUUCCAGAGUAGUUUAUGACAUUGAGUGUUUCUAAAAAUUUUUUUUUAAUAUUUAAUAAUUUUAAAGAAAAUCUUUCCUCAAAUAUUGUUAUCGUAUAAAAUAUUUUAGCAAAAACAUUCAGGUGUGUGUGUUUGGAGUGAAGACAGGAGAGAUAUGCAAUGAUAUACAAUUGAAAGAUCUUGGAAGGGUUGGCCAAACUUUGGCAUUGAGAGCUAUACCAGCCUCUGAACUGGACACCACAGCAAUGUUCUAAAGGGAUCAGCUAUCCUGUCUAGAGUGAGGACUAUGUUCUGCAAUAGCAUGGAAUUCAAGGGCCCAUAUCUAUGUAAUAUCUUGCUAAAAUAUCUGGGAGAUUUACUUGGGGUAGGGGUAGCUAUUUUCAGCAAACAACUUGACCUCCUGCUGUUCAACAUCACAGAUGAACCUACAUCAUUGCAAGAAACUUAAAAGAGGGCAACAAUGUCAAACUCCCUGCUUCACUAAAAACCAGUCACAAAAGAACGGCCAUUGGAAAGGUGAUAACACUGACAAUGUCCCAGCAUGGCUACAGCCUUUGGGUUGAAAUACAUAAAAGAAUAAAAAGGUGUAUGUGUGUGUGUGUAUGUAGAUUGUGUGUAUCAUGCAUAUUGCAGAUCAAUAAAUUUUUAUUGUACGUAGUCUAUACAUGGCUGUUAGUUUGUAUCAUGCACUUGCACAUGCAUUGAUAAAACGUGUGCAUGCAAGCAUGCAUGUGCAUCUAGGCAUGUGCAUUCCAGUUUAACCCUCUCCAUUCUAGUAAUUUCUUUCAGCUAUGCUGUUGAAAUUGCUAUUUUUAGCAGCAAUGGUUGCGUCUAUUCUUUGGAAGAAAAUGCUAACUUCCUGUUCCUAUGACAAUAGUGAGCCUGUUCAUACCAGAAUAAACUUUUCAAAUAUGUUUUAAUGUUGGUUAAGAAAUUUCUUUGUUUUUUUUUCUUUUCUUUUUUUUUUUAAACAUUUUUCUGCUCUCCGCCCCUCCCCAUCCUUUUUUAAAAUAUAUUUUCUAAUUUUUUUUUUUUUUUUUACUUUUUCCCCCUUCGCACCUACAUCCCCAUCCUGCUUCUUUCUAUUUCUAACACUUUGAUAUUUUGAUAUUUCAGAUAUUUUAUUUAAUAAGACCAUGGUGCUGGUUAUAACAAUAUUAUAUUAGUAAUAAUAACAAUAAUAAUAAUAAUAAAAAUAAUAAUAAUUAUUAUUAUUAUUAUUACUAAUAGUAAUAAUAUUAGUAAUAGUAAUAUCAAAAGUAAUAUUAAUAGCAAUAAUUAUAGUAAUAACAGUAAUAUUAAAAAUAAUGCUAACAGUCAUAAUAAUAAUAAUAAUAAUAAUAGUAAUAAAAAUGAUAUUAAUGAUGGUGAUGAUAAGGAUGAAAUGAAUGCAAUAAAUGCAUAGAAAUGCUGAUGAAAAGUAUUUCAGUGAGGAUAAGGGUGAUGAUGACAGUCAGUGAAGUUGAUUAUGAUAAUGGUUGCUUUUAUUUGCCACAAGGUCGAGAGACAAUAGAACAGUACAGUUGUACCAAACUGCAUGUCUUACAAAUCAAUAACAAGGAACAUGCAAAAUUGUGCCAGGUAUACAAACACACACAUGUGCGUGUGCAUAUAUAUAUAUAUAUAUAUAUAUAUAUAUAUCAAUCAUGUGCACACACUAACAUGCAUACAUAUGCAUGUGCACACAUAAGCACUCACACAUGCAGAUAAACAAACAUGUGCAUGCACACCUACAUGCACAUGCAUGUUCACAUGCAGAUGCAGAGUAAAUGUGCAUGAGUAACUAGAUCUUUGUACAGUUUCAACAAUGAAUUUUCCAGUUCUUCUAUCAACUGAAAUGCUUACAUCAGUAAAUUAUAGCACCAGUACUGGUUCUCAUACUGCCUUGUACUUGUAGUGCCAUUCACCCGGGAUGGAUUGAGCCAGCUCUGAUCAACAAGUUCAUCAUGUCCCUCAUGAAUGCUGACCACCUUCCUUGAAAAAAAGUAAGGUAAAGUUACCUCCUGGAGCAAUGCCAGGCUCAUAAGAGCCAGUUCCUUGGUUUCAGUGGUGUAUAUAUUCCUCACCUGGAUGGGACGCCAGUCCAUUGCAGGAUUAUUCAUUUUUGCCAGCUGAGUGGACUGGAGCAACGUGAAAUGAAGUGUCUUGCUCAAGAACACAAUGCAUCACCCAGUCUAGGAAUCGAAACCACAAUCUUAUUUCUUUACUGCCCACAAGGGGCUAGACACAGAAGGGACAAAUGGAUUAAGUCGAUUAGAUUGGCCCCAGUGCAUAACUGGUACUUAAUUUAUUGACCUCAAAAGGAUGAAAGGCAAAGUCGACCUCGGCGGUAUUUGAACUCAGAACAUAACGGCAGAUGAAAUAGAGCUAAGCAUUUCGCCCGGUAUGCUAACAUUUCUGCCAGCUCGCCCCCUUCGAAACCACAAUCUUACCAUCAUGAGUCCUACACCCUAACCACUAAGCCAUGCACUUCAAUAGAUGCUGACCACAUCCAACAAUGUUGAGGCCAUAGUUGUCCUUCGCCAUGGAGGUGCAGAGUUCAUGUACAGAGUUUUAGUGGGGAUACCAGUUCACAUGUGGUCCCCAAUCACAUGUAUACACACUUUGGGAUAGUGUGAUCCAUAACAACCCAUCUUGCCGUCAAUUGUCAACCUUUACAGAAGAUUCAUGGACCAAGUCACCCCUGAUUAUCAGAGUGGUGUUGCCUGGAUUUGAAGCAGGUUCUAGAGACAUGCUUUAGCAAAAGCUAAGAGGUGCCUCACUCCCAGUGGUCUUCCAGCACACCAGACACCAACCUGGAAUUUCUGAGGGCCUAUGCUAUUACUAGAUAGACAUUGAACCAACACUAGAUUCAUCUAUCCUUUUGACAGGUUUUGUUUUUAGUUCUGCUGGGUUUCUAGCAACCCUCCUCACCAGGCAAGCCUAGUGUGUGUGCUGGCUUAGUCACCAACGAUCUGACCAUACAACAAGUUGUACUGGAUCCCAUGUUACCGUUAGCAUUUGUAAGGGACGUCACAAGUGACCUGACAUGAUACCAUUAGUGGCCAGCACAUGAGCCCAUAAAGUAAUCAUCAGGUACAAUCAAACCAACACAUGUUGGCCCCUUUGAAGUACAGGUACAGUCCAGUUCAUUCAACAGGCUUCUGCAGUUUUCAUGUAUUCAUUUUCACUCACAAUGCAUGGGCUGUUCCCACCUGCCCUCAAUUCAAUAAGUAAAUUACAACCAACUCCUAAAUAUAUAACUAAGCAGCAACAAAUAUAUAUAUAUAUAUAAAUAAAAUGUACUGAUCCAUGAUAAAAAAGUAAACAAAAAAAGUACUCCAUCUGGUGAGAGAUACAUAUUAUUUAUUUAUUAUUUAUUUGUGACCUUUAAAUAAAUAAUAUAUAGCACUCCACAGACAUGGGUACCCUUAACACAGUUCUCGGGGGAGAUACUGAGUGACACAGUGUGCCAAGGCUGGCCUCUUUGAAAUACAGGUACAACAGAAACAGGAAGAAAGAGUGAAAGAAAGUUGUGGUGGAAGAGUACAACAGGGUUCGCCACAACCCCCUGUAGGGGCCUUGUGGAACUUUAGGUGUUUUCGCUCAAUAAACACUCAUAAUGCUCGGUCUGGGAAUUGAAACCACAAUCCCACAACAGUGAGUCCACUGCCCUAAACACUGGGCCAUUGUGCCUUCACAUGCGCUCAUACAGUGCAGUGUUGUGAAGAACCUGUAGCAUUUAAUUCAAAAUUGAAACUGAUGGAGGAUGUAUCAUCAUCCCCACCCACUGCCAUCACAAUCAUCAUCAUCAUCUGCAUCAUCGUUACCAUCUUCAGGUAUAAAAAACCGCGACAAUUAUCAACAAUUUUUAUUAAUUUUUUCAUAUAAAAAUUACUUUCUAUUCAUCUGCAGAAACCAUUAAUUAUUAUAAUUUCAUUAACUAGUCAUUAACUAAUGCAAAAAAAAAAGAAAGAUAAAAGGAUAAGGAAGGAAAAAUACAAAAAGAAUUCAGCAUUAUUCUAAUUGCUUCGUUACAAAAUGAAAUUAUAAUUUCUUUUUUUGCUAGAUUACUUAAUGCUAGAGAUGGAAAGGUAAUAGGGAUGAAAGAAAUAAUGGUGAUGGUGAUGGUGGUGGUGGUGGUGGUGUUGGUAGCGGUGGGUGGUAGUGGUGAUGAUGAUGAUGGAGAUGGUGGUGAUAAGCAGGAUGAUGGUGGCAGUGGUGGUGGUGAUGUUGGUGAUGGAGAUGGUGGUGAUAAAGAGGAAGGUGGUGGUGCUAGUGGUUUGGUGAUGGUGGUAGUCAUGAUAAUGUAAUGCUGGUGUUGAUGAUAAUCAUACUGAUAGUGAUGAUGAUACAUCCUCCAUCAGUUUCAAUGCCGAGCAUUCAAUCAUUCAGUCAGUUCAACUACCUGCUUCUGAAACUAACGUUUAAGUGGCUGAGUACUCCACAGAGUUGUGUACCUGAAAUGUAAUCCUAUUUAUGAAAUCUCUGUGACCCAGUAUCUGACUAGGAUGGACCUUUGAAAUACAGGUAAAAAUAGAAUCCAUCUGACAAGAGUGAACCUGGGACCUUAAGAUUGUAAAUUGAGGGAAAUUUGGCAGGAUGGUCAGUCACCCACUGAUAUUUGUUGACGCUGCAUUGAAGAAACCAAAGAACAAAAGAAAAAAGGGGAAAGAAGAAAUGCAUUCAACACCAGAGCUGAAGGCACCUCUGAAAGGAGCGGGGUCCCACCAUGUCGAAAAUUGUAGAGGAGUAGGAGCCAAAACUGGACAUGGUUCCUCCUGAUGAUGUCUUUGGCCACUGGAUCCUAUAAAGGAGCUGUUGAGGUAGCGAACCAUGAAACAUGGUUGGAAUUCCUCCUUCCAUUGUUGCAGCUUUGUAACAUGUUCUUUGCUCAGGACAUCAUUUGUCACCUGGGACAUUUCAUGGUCAAAAAAUUGUUUGUAAACCAAUUUCUUCAAGAUGAGAGGCAUUCGUAAACCAAGGAUCUAAUCUGUGUGUGUAUGUGUACCAAGAACUCAUUGAAAUAGUGAAAUUUCAAUUUCUGGUGAAUUAAUGAAUAAGAUCCUUAGUACUCACAUUCUCUUUUAUUUAUGUUUCUGUUCAUAGACAAUAAAGACACAUACAUUCUGGAAGUUUUUUCUCUCAGUUAGACAUGAUUGAUUGAUUGAUUCUAGUUUCAGCUUAUGAGCUGUGGCCAUGCUGGGGCACCGCCAUUUAAACCUUUUUCUUUUCAAAGCAGCAAGCUGGCAGAAACAUUAGCACGCCAGGCGAAAUGCUUAGCGGUAUUUCGUCUGCUGCUACGUUCUGAAUUCAAAUUCGGCUGAGGUCGACUUUGCCUUUCAUCCUUUCGAGGUCAAUUAAAUAAGUACCAGUUACGCAUUGGGGUUGAUAUAAUCGACUUAAUCCGUUUGUCUGUCCUUGUUUGUCCUCUCUGUGUUUAGCCCCUUGUGGGUAGUCAAGAAAUAGGUAUUUUGUCUGUCUUUACAUUCUGAGUUCAAAUUCCACCUAGGUCGACUUUGCUUUUCAUCCCCUCAGGCUCAAUUCAUUAAGUACCAGCUGCAUUCUGGGGUCGAUCUAAUUGACUGGUUCCUUCCCCCCAAAUUUCAGGCCUUACUCUUAGAGUAGAAAAGAUUUAAACCUUUUUUUUUUUAUGUACUUGAAAACUCAAGCCUUAUGGAACUUGGGUUUUAUGUAAGAAAGAAACACAACUCUGGUAGAUAAGAUUUCCUAAUUAUUCACCAUCAUCAUCAUUUAAUGUCCAUUUUCCAUGAUGGAAUGGUGCUGAAUGGUUUGAUGGAAGCUGGCUAGGCCAGGAGCCAUACCAAAUUCCAUUGUCUACUUUGGUUUCAUCUCUUCAGCUGGAUGUCCUUCCUAAAGCCAACCACUUGACAGAGUGUACUGGGUGCUUUUUAUGUGGCACCAACACCAAAGCUUUUUAUAUGGUACCAUUAUCAGAACCUUUCAUAUGACACCAGUACCUGUGCUUUUUAGGUGCUACCAACACUGAUAAGGUCACCAAGUACCUUACAAGGCAAAAAUGUUUCUGGUGGGGGUGGGGAAUACUAUUGAUGGGGUGUGGUUUUGUUCCACUUGAGGAAUUUAAGGUACAUUUAGGUGUCUAACUGUAGGGUGGAUGCAUAGAUACCCCAGUUGGUAGCUACCCUAGUUGGAAAACAAAAGAGAAGGAUACUGAGAAAAACGAUGGGUUAUUAGAAUCAAUUUCUAGGAUUUAUUUCUUAUUUGAUUUUUCCAUUCACAUCUUCCAGGAAGAACUAAAUAAUAAUAAUAAUAAUAAUAAUGGCUUCACAGUCAGAAGACUUCCAGUUGAAAACCUAUGAAUCUGUAGCAGAAAAUUUCAUCAAACUCUGUCGAGAGCAUUCCAACAUCAGUGGUUAUUCCAAGCUGGAGAAAAAAUGUCGAGCUGAGCUGAAGUUCUUGGAAAAGGUAAGUCAUUGCAAUAAAAUAUUGCUUUCUCUCACUUGUUUCAGUCAUUUGACUGCGGUCAUGCUGGAGCACUGCUUUGAAGAAUUUUUGGUUGAAUGGAUCAACCUUAGGACUUUUUUUUUUGUUUUUCUAAGCCCAGUACUUUUUCUAUCAGUCUUUUUUGCUGAACUGCUAAGUUACAGGGAUGUAAACACACCAACACCGGUUGUCAAGUGGUGGUGGACAAACACAGUCACAAAGGCAUAUACACACACACGUUUUUUGCAUUUCUUUUAUUCUUUAAUUUGUUUCAGUCAAGUGAGUGAGCCAUGCUGGAGCAUCGCCUUUAGUCAAACAAAUCAACCCGAGGACUUAUUCUUUGUAAGCCUAGUACUUAUUCUAUCAGUUUCUUUUGCUGAACCGCUAAGUUAUGGAGACAUAAACACACAAACAUUGGUUGUCAAACAAUUUUUUAAUAUUUUUUGAUCACUGUCUUGGAAAUAAGCUUAUGAAAAAUAUUUUUUAAAUUUAUGAUUUGGUUAUAAAUGAAUAUCAGCUUAUUACAUCCAUAUUUUCAUAUAAGAGAAUAGUUAAUUUAGUUGGACUUGAAUCCACUGUCCUAUUGGAUGAAGUGUAGUAGGUGCCACUCUGAACUGUGAAUUCUCUAAAAAGCACAUCAAUAAUAUAGGCACAGGCAGAGCUGUAUAUUUUAAAAUCUGGUUCUUGGUUUAGGCCAUGCCAAGCUUCUUGGGCAAGGGUCUUCUUAUGCAGGCUCGAGUUAACACUUUGAGUAAAAGAUGGUAGGUAGAAAUGGUAUAGAAGUCAAUUGCAUGUGUGUGUGUAUUUGAAUAUCUAUAUACACACAUAUAUGCGUGUGUGUGUUUACAUUUAUAACCAGUGAUGUUGGUGUACUGUAGCAAAUGGUCUGACAAAUAUAUACAUUGAUAAAAUAAAAUAUGUACCAAACUUUAAAAUAUGUACAGGGGUUGAUAUGCUUCACUGAGCCCUUGAUAGUGCCCCAGCAUGACCAGAAUCCAAAACCAAAUAACAAAACUAAAUGAAUCAAAGCAUAUACAUGCAUAGAUAUACCAUUUUUUUAUUUAUAUUUGUGUAUCUGCAAUAAUUACUUUUGGAGGUAAUUGCAACAAUUACCUUGUAACGAAGUGCUGUCACAGGCUUAGUGAUGUCUUGAUAUCCUGCCUUCUGCCUCUCCAUCUUCAAGUUUAUAUCUCUUCAUCUUUACCUGCUUUCUCUUUCAUAUACAUCUCUCUCUCUCUCUCUCUCACUUCCUCUCCCUCAGCAUCUUUCUCUAUUCAAGUUACAUCUUUUAGCAUUAGACAAACAAGUGAGAAUGUACAGUUGUAUUAAUAUAUUGUUGUAACUCAUUACAUCAGAUAAAGCUUCUCAAUUUAUUUCCUAAAUGCGAUAUUUAUUACAUUAAGUUCUCAAGUUUUCACUUAAAUGUAUUUCUAUUCUUAGUCAACCCAAGAUUAAUAAUCAGAUGUUGUCAUUGUAAAUCAUUCUCUUCAUAAUUAUGUGUAACAGGAUAUAUUGAUGUGGAUGUCAUUCAUCCAUCCAUCCAUCUGAUCAUAACUCAAGCCAGAGCAUGACACUUCAGGUUAUUCUGCCAUUCAACCCAGUUAUUUAGCUCUUCCAUAAUAUAUAUAUAUAUUAUAAAGUAAGAGCAGGAAAAUUACAUCAAAAAGUCAUCACAGAAGAUAUACGUCCAAAAUAAUAUUGUAUUAAUUAUUUAAAAGGUUAUUUUAUAAUAGGCGUAGGAGUGGUGGCUGGUAAGUAGCUUGCUUACAAACCACAUGGUUCCGGGUUCAGUCCCACUGCGUGGUACCUUGGGCAAGUGUCUUCUACUAUAGCCUUGGGCCGACCAAAGCCUUGUGAGUGGAUUUGGUUGACUGAAACUGAAAGAAGCCCAUCAUAUAUAUGUAUAUAUAUAUAUAUAUAUAUAUAUAUAUGUAUAUGUGUGUGUGUGUAUGUUUGUGUGUCUGUGUUUCUCCCCCCAACAUCGCUUAACAACUGAUGCUAGUGUGUUUACAUCCCCGUAAUGUAACUUAGUGGUUCAGCAAAAAAGACUGAUAAAAUAAAUACUAGGCUUACAAAGAAUAAGUCCUGGGGUCGAUUUGCUUAACUAAAGGCGGUACUCCAGCAUAGCCACAGUCAAAUGACUGAAACAAGUAAAAGAAUAUAUAAACAAUUGUUCUGUGUUUAAUGUGGUUGAAUUACGGAUGGCAAACCAAAUGCUGUGGGCUAGGUGCGUGACUCAGUGGUUAGAGUGCCAGACUGACAAUCAUGAGGUAGUGAGUUUAAUUCCCAGGUCGGAUUGUGUGUUGUGUUCUUCAGCAAGGCAUUUUAUUUCACGUUGAUCCAGUUCACUCAGCUGUAGAAAUGAAUUGCGAUAUCACUGGUGCCACGCUGUAUUGGCCUUUGCCUUUCCCUUGGAUAACAUCAGUGGUGUGGAGAGGGGAGGCUGGUACGCAUGGGUGACUGCUGGUCUUCCAUAAACAACCUUGCUUGGACUUGUGCCUCAGAGGGAAACUUUCUAGGUGCAAUCACAUGGUCAUUCAUGACCGAAGGGCAAGCUAAGGGGGGAAUCCAAAUAAGAAUAAGUCUGCUUGGCACAAUCAUUGUUAUUAAUUUGGUUACAAAUUUGGCACAUCAUCAUCAUUUAACGUCCGUUUUCCAUGCUGGCAUGGGUUGGACAGUUUGACUGAGGUUUGGAGAGCCAUCGGCUGCACGAGGCUCCAGUCUGAUCUGGCUAUAUUUCUACAGCUGGAUGCCCUUCCAAGAGUGUAGUGCAUGCUUUUUAUGUGCUAGCAGCACAGGAGCCAGUACGGUGGCCUUUGCAUUGCUCAUGUUCGGACAGUGGCAUGGGAGACAUUCAGGGAGUACUGGCAACGACCAUGUUUGAAUGGUGCUUUUUACAUGCCACCAGCACAGGAGCCAGUCAGGGGGCACUGGGGAUGGCGGGGAAGAUGCAAAUUGAUUACAUCGAUCCCAGAGCUCAGCUGGUACUAAUUUUAUUGAUCCAAUAAAGAUGAAAGGCAAAGUUAACCUCAGCAGAAUUUGAACUCAGAACAUUUUGCUUGGCAUGUUAAUGAUUCUGCCAGCUGGCUGCCUUCUGUAUUGGUUUCAAAAUUUGGUACAAGGUCAGUUAUUUAUGGGGCAGAGCUAAGUUGAUCACAUAAACCCCUCAAUGCUCAACUGUUUCUUAUUUCAUUGACUCUGAAACGAUGACAGUCAAUGUCAGCCUUGGCAGAAUUUGAACGUAAAGACGGACGAAAUUCCUCUUAGCAUUUCGCCCAGCAUGCUAACACUUCUGCCAGUUCACUGCCUCAUGACUAAGAAAAUAUUGUAAACAAGCCAAAAUAUCAUAGACUGUUAGCACAAACUUAUGAAAAUUGCUUAUGAUGGAUCAGUAGGUAUGUGGAAAAGUCACAUUAUCUCAUUAUGUCUCCUUUCCCAGCUUACAUAACCCGCAUGAUAGGUGUCUUAUAUUAUUUAAUGAAUCUUAUUGAUAGGGGUGUGCCUUGUAUGCAAUUACGGUAGUUUCAUACACCUUUUUCUAGAAUCUUCAAAUUUUUUUAACCUAAUAAAUCCUUAUACUCUUAAUUUUUCUGUCAAGAUAUAUAACAUUAAUUUUACUUAGCUACCAAAAAUAUUUUCUUCAGCUUUUUUUUUUAAUAUUUUUAAUUCAAUAGUUUUGUACGUCUUUAUUCAUAUAUAAUUUCUAAACCUUUUUACUUGAUUUUUUUUUCCCCCCCUGAUUCAGGCCAACAAAUAACAACUCAUAACUCAAGUGUUAGAUUAAAAUGUCAGCUAUUUUUCAGCAUUACCUUGUUGAAAGAUUUCAAAUUUUGGGGGAGGAUUUUUUUCCGACAGUAAGAAUGUUUUAAUCAAGUUUACAUUAAGCAUCUCUCUGUCUCACUCACAUGUGUGGUGGAAUGGUUGUGUGGUUAAGAAGCUCAGUUUGUAACCUUAUGGUUUUUGGUUCAGUUCCACUGCAUAGCUCAGGCCUACCAGUGCCUUGGGAGUGAAUUUUAUAGACAGAAACUGUGUGGAAGUCUGUUCAUCAUCAUCAUUAUGAUCAUUUAAUGUCCGUUGUCCAUGCUGGUAUUGGUUUGGGCAGUUUGACCAGAGGUGGCAAGCUGGAGAGCUGCACCUGUAUCCAGUCUGAUUUUGCAUGGUUUCCAUGGCUGGAUGCCCUUCCUAAUACCAAACAUUUUUACCAUGUGUGUUGGCUGCUUUUAUAUGACACUACACAGGUGAUUUUAUGUGAACCCUCACGGGUCCUUUUUAUUCCUUUAUUUAUUUAUUCGUUUCAGUCCGUGGCCAUGCUGGAGCACCACCUUUAGUCGAACACCUUGACCCCAGGACUUAUUCUUUGUAAGCCUAGUACUUACUCUAUCAGUCUCUUUUGCAGAACCGCUAAGCUAUGGGGAUGUAAACACACCAACAUCGUUUGUAAAAACCACCAUUUGAGUGUGAUCGUUACCAGCAUCGCCUUACUGGCUCUCGUGCUGGUUGCAUGUGAAAAACAUUCAAACAAGGUUGUUGCCAGUACCGCUAGACUGGCUCCUGUGCAGGUGGCACAUAAAAAAACACCAUUUGAGUGUGGGUGUUGCCAGUAUCGCCUGAUUGGCCCUCGUGUCGGUGGCACGUAAAAGCACCCACUACACUCUCGGAGUGGUUGGCGUUAGGAAGAGCAUCCAGCUGUAGAAACUUUGCCAGAUCAGAUUGGAGCCAUCUGGUUCGCCAGUCCUCAGUCAAAUCGUCCAACCCAUGCUAGCAUGGAAAGCAGAUGUUAAACGAUGAUGAUGGUGACUCUAGGCACAAGGUCUGAAAUUUUGAGGGAGGGGCCUGUCAAUUAGAUCGACCCCUGUAUGCAACUGGUACUUAAUUUAUCGACCCAGGAAGGAUGAAAGGCAAAGUCAACCUUGGUGGAAUUUGAACUCAGAACAUACGAAAUAGCGCUAAGCAUUUUGCCUGGUGGCCAACAUUUCUGCCAGCUCGCCGCUUUCUGCAAAUAUUCUUUUCUACUCUAGACACAAGGCCUGAAGUUUCUGGAGAGGGGCCAGUUGAUUAGAUCGAUCCCAGUAUGCAAUUUAUCAACCCCAAAAAGAGGAAAAGCAAAGUCGACCUCGACUGAAUUUGAACUCAGAAUGUAAAGACAUUUUGCUCGGUGUGCUAACGUUUCUGCCAGCACACUACCUUCUGCAAUUAUUGGAAAUAUUCUGGCCAUGGGGAAGCAUCACCUUGCUUGGAAACGGCAGAAGGUUGGUGAUGGGAAGAUCAUUCACCCAGAGAAAAUCAGUUUCAGCAAAUUCCUUCUGACCCAUGCAUCCCAUGGAUUACAUUAGAUUGUCUUGCCUAUGUUCAGUCCACUGCAGGAUGAAGGCCUCAGUAUGUUCUCUCUAUCAACCACAGUCUGAUGUGAAGGCCAUGAAUUUGAGCUUGUGGCCAUACUAGUUUCAUGAGCCUACUCUGCUACACAGGUUUGACAUUGCUUGGCACAUGGAUAUACUUUUUAUUCUCUUAUCCAACUGUCAUUAAAUCAAUUACACUGACCCCAGUGCUCAAUAAGUGCUUAUUUUAUCAGCCCUGAAAGAAUGAUGGGCAAGGCUGACCUUGGCAGGAUUUGAACUCAGGACAUGAAGACAGAUGAAAUACUGUUGAGCAUUUCAUCUGGUGUGCUAACGAUUCUGCCAGCUUACCACCUGAUGAUGAGGAUGAUGAUAAUUUCAAUUCUUUGAUCGUAAUUUGAUACAUCUGUUUUGCAUAACUUCAAAGCUACCGUUGCCUUCCUUGUCUUUGUAUAAUUAAAACCACCUACAUCUUGUCAUGUUUGUUUGUAUCUGUGUGUGUAUGUUUGUGGAGAGAGAGAGAGAGAGGGAAAGGGAAUAAAAAUAAAGAUAAAAAAAUUUAUUGGAAGGAAUGAAAAAGCACACACAUACAAACAUUCAUAAAAAUUAAAUUCUAAUUUUUGUCUGUCUAAUUAAAAAUUUGAUAAUUGAAAAUCGUAUUGUAGUGUUUCAAUUAUUGCCGCAGACCUAGAAGGAUGACAAUAAACUAAUUAUCACCAUCAUCGUUAUUUCAUUUACAUUAUUAUUAUUUUAUAAAAGAAUCAUCAUCAUCAUCAUCAUUUAACGUCUGCUUUCCAUGCUGGCAUGGGUUGGACAGUUUGAUGGAGGACUGGCAAGCCAGGAGGCCAUGCCAGGCUUCAAUCUGCUGGAGCCUCGUGGAGCUUUAGGUGUUUUCACUCAAUAAACACACACAACGCCCGGUCUGGGAAUCGAAACUGUGAUCCUCCGACCGUGAGUCCGCUGCCCUAACCACUGGGCCAUUGCACCUCCACAUUAUUAUUAUUAGUAGUAGUAAAGGAAGGGAGCUGGUAGAAUCCUCAUUGUGUCAGACAAAAUGCUUAGCAGUGUUUCUUUUGGCUUUUUAUAUUCUGAGUUCAAAUACCUUUGAAUUCAGAAUAUAGAGAUCAACUUUGCCUUUCAUCCUUUUGGGGUCAAUGAAAUAAGUACCAGUUAUGCACUGGGGUUGAUGUAAUCGACUAGCCCCCUUUCACCCCAAAUUUUCAAGGCCUUGUGCCUAGAGUAGAAAUAAUUAUUAUUGUGUUGGGCCUCACAGAGGCAGGGUGGCUGAGUUCCUUUUGAGUGUUGGGCCUCAUGGAGGCAAUGACCAAGACCUUUGGCAUUAUGUCAUGAUUGAGAAGAAGACCCAUCAAGCUGAGCAAAAUCACAGUCAUGGCAGAUGCCAGUGGCAUGUAAAUGCACCCUGGUGUCAUGCAAAUGGCACGUAAAGACACUCAUUACACUCUUGGAGUGGUUGCCAUUAGGAAGGACAUCCAGCCAUAGAAAACCAUGCCAAAUUAGACUGGAGUCUGAUGCAACCUUCCAGCAUGUCACCCCCAGUCAAACCGUCCAACCCAUGCCAGCAUAGACAAUGGACAUUAAAUGAUGAUGAUGACGAUGUUGAUGAUGAUGAUUACUAAUAAGACAUUUCUAAUAGACAGAAAAUAAUUAAUCUUCAUUAAAAUCAUAGAAUAUCUAUUUUUGUUUUUCUUCUGCAUUGCGUGUUAGUAAUUUCACUAUCACAACAGAACGUAGGCUUAGGAGUGGCUGUGUGGUAAGUAGCUUGCUUACGAACCACAUGGUUCUGGGUUCAGUCCCACUGCAUGGUACCUUGGGCAAGUGUCUUCUAUUAUAGCCUCGGGCCGACCAAAGCCUUGUGAGUGGAUUUGGUAGACGGAAACUGAAAGAAGCCUGUUGUAUAUAUGUAUAUAUAUGUGUGUCUGUGUUUGUACCCCAACAUCGCUUGACAACCGAUGCUGGUGUGUUUAGGUCCCUGUAACCUAGAGGUUCGGCAAAAGAGACUGAUAAAAUAAGUACUAGGCUUACAAAGAAUAAGUCCUGGGGUUGAUUUGCUUGACUAAAGGCGGUGCUCCAGCAUGGCCACAGUCAAAUGACUGAAACAAGUAAAAGAGAACAGAACAGAGAGAGAGUGUGAGCGCGAAAUAUUGUUCUUAGUGUUUACAUACAGGGUAACUAUUUUCGGUGAGUUCUACCUUGCAGAGGGGUUCUAAUAGUUGCUAGUAUUUGUGAAGGUGCAUGGCUUAAUGUUUAAGGCAUUUGGCUCACAAUUGUAUGGUUGUGAGUUCUCUUCCUGGCAGUUCAUUGUGUUCUUGUGCAAAAUACUUUAUUUCAUGUGACUCCAGUCAACUCAGCUGACAAAAAUGAGUUGUGCCUGUAAUUACAUAGGGGCCAGUCUUGCCACAUUCUGUGUCAUUCUGUUCUCCCUGAGAACUAUAUUAAGGGUACGCAUGUCUGUGGAGUGCUCAGCCACUUGCAUGUUAAUUUCACAAGCAGGCUGUUCCAUUGAUCACAUCAGCUGGAACCUUCGUCAUUUAACUCAAUGGUUCCCACACUUUCUUGGGCUGACACUCAGGCCACAUUCUUAGCGUCCCCCAUCCAGACUGACCAUCGCAAGCAUAGACCUCUUUCUGGAGUAAAUUCAAAGCAACUGUGUUUCACAAAUAAAAACUUAACCUAACGGACCCAUUAUUUUGUUGUUUUUACAUGAAUCACUUCCCCCAUUAUUACCCCACUUUUUACAUGAAUUGCUACCCCAUUUUUGUCCCACUUUUCUUCAACGCCGGGGGGACAAUACUGCCCACUUUGGGAACCACUGAGAGGGAGCCAAGCUGAUAAGCGCAUGUGAGUUAUAUUGUUUUAUUACUUACAAUGCUGGCCCUUGUGAAUUACAGGUACCACUCACUUUUUCCAGCUGAGUGAACUGGAGGAGUACCUUGUAAAAACGUGCUGCUGGUUUUGGAACCCACAAUUGUAAGCCAAAUACCCUAACCACUAAGCCACGCACCAGCAGAUACCAGCUGACUAUUGCAUAAUCUAUUGUUAUACAAACAUACACAGAUAACAACAUAUGCACAUACACACUCAAACACUGUCACAUAUUGUUACGUACACUUACCAACAGUCUAUUCGUUUUAUGCAUACACACAUGCAUACAUAUAUAAAUACACACAUGCACAGGUAUCAGCAGAGAAUUGCACAAACGUUCACAGAUAACAACUCACACACAUACACACACACACACAGAUAUCAGCAGACAUUCCACACGCAGUCUGUAUGUUAAACAUACAGAUACCAACAUACACAUUCAGUUAUUGUUUCGCACACACACACACACACACACACACACACACAGUGUCUCACACAGUUAUAUGCACACACAAACACACACAGUCUCAUACAGUUACACUCACACACACACACAGUGUCUCACACACAAAUAUGCAGUUCCAUACAGGUACACAUGCACGCACACACACGUACACACAGUUUCAUACAGUUACAAGCAACACACAUACAGACACACAAUCUCGUACAGUUAUGCGUGCACACACACACACACACACACACACAUACAGUCUCGUACACACACAGUCUCAUACAGUUACGUGUACACACACAAACACUGAAACACCCAGUCUCAUACAGUUACACGCAUGCACACACACACACACACACAGAUAUUAGCAGACAAUCAGCAUCAUAUUUUUAAUUAAUUUAUUAUUUAUUGAAAUGCUAAAACCUUUGUGGGGCUCGGUGAGGGAGGAGGAGGGUAUAGUGACUAUAGCAGACUGACAGGUCGUGAUAAACUGAUAUGUCAGUCUUACCAAACCAAUUUCAUUAAUACAGAUUGAAUUUUGUAAUAUGUAAAGGUGGUCAUAUACUCUUUACUCUUUUACUUGUUUCAGUCAUUUGACUGCGGCCAUGCUGGAGCACCGCCUUUAAUCGAGCAACUCGACCCCGGGAUUUAUUCUUUUGUAAGCCCAGUACUUAUUCUAUCGGUCUCCUUUGCCGAACCGCUAAGUAACGGGGACAUAAACACACCAGCAUCGAGUGUCAAGCAAUGCUAGGGGGAUAAACACAGACACACAAACACAGACACACACACACACACAUAUAUAUAUAUAUAUAUAUAUAUAUAUAUACAUACAUAUAUACGACGGGCUUCUUUCAGUUUCCGUCUACCAAAUCCACUCACAAGGCUUUGGUCGGCCCGAGGCUAUAAUAGAAGACACUUGCCCAAGGUGCCACGCAGUGGGACUGAACCCGGAACCAUGUGGUUGGUAAACAAGCUACUUACCACACAGCCACUCCAACAAACAGGGGUCAUAAGAGAAGAUGACUUAUGAAACAAUAUACUAUCUGAUAUGUAUUCAUUGCAUUGUAAUACUUUUUUUCUUUUCAUAUAUUGUAUUAAUGUAUAUUGGAGAUAAUCACAUCUUCAUAGUAUUUGGCGGAAUUAGAAGCUUCAAUUUGAAAUUAAGGGAAAAGUUGCAUAGAAUACACAUCUUUUAUGGUUGGGUUUUGGUUUGGUUAUCUAUUUGUUUGCAUUCUUGUUAAUCAUUCUCAGAAAAUCUUUUAUUUAGAGGAUUAUUUGUAUUUUCAAUCCUCACAUUCUGCUUAUUUUCAUACCAAAUAUUCAUAUUUGUAUCGUUUCUUUAUUUCCUUUAGAAAUAUAUUGUCAUCAAUUUGUUCACACAAUGAGUAGAAGACAUCUUGUUUUUUUUUCCCUGAAGGGCUUCCGUAACAAUAUCUGGAUGAAUUUCCUUAAUCUCCCUGACUGCAUGAAUUGGCUUGUCUUUUGUCAUUCUAAGAGACUUUUUAAAAUGUAUGUUUGUACCAUCACUUUCCCGUGAGUAGUUUAUGAAGUUGGCAUCAUUUCCACAUCACUACUCUAUCUCACACUCUAUCAUAUCUGUGUGUGCAUGUGCAUGCAUGAACAUGCGUGUGUGUGUGUAUAUAUAUAGGUGAGAAGUUCCAGACAGUAUUUAAUGCUGAGGAGCAAGUGUUGUUUAUGGUUAUUGCAGCCGUCAUUUCACAUUUUGUAAUCAAAUUUCAUAUUCCCAGUCGUCAAACUGGACAUUCUUCCUGUGUAUGGAACUCCCAGUGGCAUCAUCCUUGGAAAUUGGGAAGAAACAAUUGGCGACAUUAUUUCUGGCAAAUACUGACCAACUGUAGCCAAUGUGAUUAAUUGUUUCUUCCUAAUUUUCACACAUUCUACAGUAAUAGAAAAGAAAAAGAAAAGAAGAAACAGAUAUUCCAUUAAUUUCAUCCAGACUGUAAUUACUUUCCAUCUGUAAGAAAUUCUGUUUCAUUAAAUGCAUAUAAUGGUUUGUGGAGGGCAGGCUUUUAUUUGGUACCACAAUCAAGAAUCCUUCAAUCUUAGGUUCAUGUCUUGCACUUCUCAACCAGUUUGGCAAAUUUUUUUUUGUUUAUUUCUCUAUUCUUAAUUUUUUUUUUUUUUCUUUCUCAAAUAUCAGCUUCAUGGCCAUCCUGCAGAACUUGGAAGUUCAUACAGGUGCACAAAUAGCUAUGUGGUGAGAAAUUUGUUUCACUACCAUGUUGUUUCAAAUUCAGUCCUACUAUUUGGCACCUUGGGCAAGCAUCUUCUGUUAUAUCCUUUGGCUAAUCAAAGCCAGGUAGGUGAAUUUGGUUAAUGGAAACUGAAAGAAGCCCAUCAUAUAUAUCAUCGUCAUCAUUUAUUAUCCACCUUCCAUGCUGAGCUAGUCAGGCAGAAGUCUGCAUCAGACUUCUGUGACUGUUUUGGCAGAAUUUUUACAGCUGGCUGCUCUUCCUAACUUAGCAGAGUGAAUUUAAUGCUUUUUAUGUUGCACAAGCACAGGUGAGGUCAGUUUUGGCAAGGUUUUUACAGCUGGAUGCCCUAAACUCUGACCCAUGCAAGUAUAGAAAAAUGAACAUUAAAGGUGAUGAUGGUGUAUUGACAUAACAAUGUACAUAAUUCUGCAGGAAGUAAUGGGUCUAGCCUCAUAUAAGCAUGGAAUCCUUGCAAUUGGAAUUUUUUUUAUUGUUGUUGGUAUUGCAGUUCCUAUAUUUGGAUGUGAAGGCUGUCUUGCUUCCAUGCGUUUAUAAGAUUGAUUUUAUUUCUGUGAAUGAUUCAUUUUAUGACUGUCUAAGUUGGUAGUGCUCAACUUUUAUAAUAUCCAGGCCAAAUCCAAAACUAGAAUGUUUCUUUUUUGUGGGGUGGGGCUGCACCAAAAAAAGUAAAACAAGUCAGUUAAAGAAAAAUUUAUAUUCAUAUGUGGUCUAGUUUGUAGGAUUCCUGGCUUUCACCCAGGUAGCCCAAGUUUGAUUCCUGGCAUGGGAACGCAUAUCUUAUAGGCACAGGCGUGGCUGUGUGGUAAGUUGCUUGCUUACCAACCACAUGAUUCCGGGUUCAGUUCCACUGCGUGGCACCUUGGGCAAGUGUCUUCUACUAAAGCCUCAGGCUGACCAAAGCCUUGUGAGUGGAUUUGGCAGACAGAAACUGAAAGAAGCCCAUUGUAUAAAUGUAAAUGUAUAUAUGUGUGUGUGUGUGUGUAUAUAUGUUUGUGUGUCUGUGCUUGUUCCUCCUACAUCGAUUGACAACUGAUGCUGGUGUGUUUACAUCCCCGUAACUUAGCAGUUUGGCAUAAGAGACCAAUAGAAUAAGUACUAGGCUUACAAAGAAUAAGUCUUGGGGUCAAUUUGUUUGACUAAAGGCGGUGCUCCAGCAUGGCCGCAGUCAAACGGCAGAAACAAAUAAAAGAAUAAAAAAAAUAAAAGCCUUCAUAGAGAGAAGACCAUUGGGGGCUGCUGGAAGGAAGCUUGAGGGCUGUGUGCCUCCCCAGGAGCAGCAGUUGAGAACCACUGAUCUAGACUUUAUUCAUUUACCAAUAAAUUUUAAGAAUUAAAGAAUAUCAACAGCAUGAGAUAAUAGUUGCAAAGGAACUGUAACAGAUCCCACAUGUACUUAAUCUUGUGUUCUUACUUAGUUUGUUUGGAUUUAGUAUGUCAUUCACACUGUUAAAUUACAAAGUUCUUCAUUAUUAUUAUUAUUAUUAUUAUUAUUAUUAUUAUUAUUAUUGUUAUUAUUAUUUGAUAAUAAUAACUAACUUACAAUGGUGUCAUUUUGAAAUUUACUGUCUUGCAAAAGAAUACAUAAGGUAAAAUUGAAAUUGUUCAGAUCUCACCUUGCAUUUGGGAGUAUAAUUUAGAUUGUAUUAGAAAUAUAUAAACAUCAAUGGAAUUUGUAUCUUUGUGGUACCAGUGCCGGUGGCACACAAGAAAACCAUCCGAACGUGGCCGUAGCCAGUACCACAUCGACUGGCCUCCGUGCAGUGGGCACGUAACAAACACCAUCCGAUCGUGGCCGUUCACCAGCCUCAUCUGGCACCUGUGUCGGUGGCACAUAAAAACACCAUCCGAGCGUGGCCGUCUGCCAGCCUCGUCUGGCACCUGUAUCGGUGGCACAUAAAAAACACCAUCCGAGCGUGGCCGUUCGCCAGCCUCGUCUGGCACCUGUGUCGGUGGCACAUAAAAUCACCCACUACACUCUCGGAGUGGUUGGCGUUAGGAAGGGCAUCCAGCCGUAGAAACACUGCCAGAUCUGACUGGGCCUGAUGAAGCCUUCAAGCUUCACAGACCCCAGUUGAACCGUCCAACCCAUGCUAGCAUAGAAAACGGACGCUAAAUGAUGAUGAUGAGUUUCAGGCAAAUUUCUUCUGCAUCACCUGCUACACUUCCAUGCUUUUUAUUAUUAUUAUUAUUAUUAUUAUUAUUAUUAUUAUUAUUAUUAUUAUUAUCAUUAUUACUAUUAUUAUUGUUGUUGUUGUUGUUGUACCUGUGUGUGUGCACGUGCGCUCUUGUGUGUGUCUGUAGCACAAUACAUUCGGUGCCAGACUGGUAUACUGCUAAAAAUGUAUUGGAUAAUAAUUCUAUUUCUUACAUGAAAGAUAAAUUUCCAAGAGUAAUCCAAUAAUGUUCUUUUAAACCGAACAUACCUUCAUUAAGAACAGUUUCUGACUACAUUCUCCAUCUGGAAACACCAGGUAUGCCAUUAUUUUAUAUCGCCUGUAUCAAGCAGAAUACAGGAUCUUUUUAUAUAACACUUGUUACAAUGUGCUUCAAAUUCUUAUUUGAUUGUACCUUUUCCACCUUGUCCCAAAUCAUUUGACUAAUACUCCACUAAUACUCCGUGACGGUGGCACGUAAAAUACACCAAUCCGACCGUACGACAGGCACCCAUGCCAACCCCCUUUGCUUGCGAAGACAUGUUGGGGCAAGUGAAAUCGAAUUGAACCAGCCAGGAUCCCUGGUCUGGUGGUACGUAAAAAGCACUAUCCGACUCGUGGCCGAUGCCAGCACCGCCUCGACUGGCUUCCGUGCCGGUGGCACAUAAAAUACACCAAUCCGACCGUGGCCGUUGCCAGCCUCGCCUGGCACCUGUGCAGGUGGCACGUAAAAAGCACCCACUACACUCACGGAGUGGUUGGCGUUAGGAAGGGCAUCCAGCUGUAGAAACAUUGCCAGAUAAGACUGGAGCCUGGUGCAGCCUUCUGGCUUCCCAGAUCCCCGGUCGAACCGUCCAACUCAUGCUAGCAUGGAGAACGGACGUUAAACGAUGAUGAUGAUGAUGAUGAUGAUCUUCCCAUCAUUGUGUGGGCUCUUCUUGUGGGUUUUUAAAAAUUUUUUUCCUGAUUUCUUGUAUAUCAUUUAGCUAAGAUGCAAAGAGCCAUGGAAAGAUCCAUGCUAGUGAUAUCACUGUGAGAGCAUAUCUGAAAUGAGUUAGUAUGAAAAAAGUAGACAAGUGGAUAAUGUGAUUGAAGAAUAUUAGAAUAUGUACAAGUUCUAAUGGGCCAGCUUGGAGGUGCAAUGGCCCAGUGGUUAGGGCAGUGGACUCACGGUCAUAGGAUCGCGGUUUCGAUUCUCAGACUAGGCAUUGUAAGUGUUUAUUAAGUGAAAACACCUAAAGCUCCACAUGUCUCUUGCACGUGGAGCUUUAGGUGUUUUUUCUCACUCUUCCUUCCCGUUUCUGUUGUACCUGUAUUUCAAAGGGCCAGCCUUGUCGCAUUCUGUGUCAUGCUGAAUAUGCCUGAGAGUUGCAUUAAGGGUACACGUGUCUGUGGAGUGCUCAGCCACUUCCACAUUAAUUUCACGAGCAGGCUGUUUCAUUAGUCAGAUCAACUGGAACCCUCGUCGUCGUAACCGACGGAGUGUCAUGAUUAGGCCAGACAUGUCACAAAGUUUGCAAACAACAGGUGGACCCAUUUAGUAGCUGAGUUGUUAGCACACACACACAUGCAUCCACACAGUACACUCUGUAAAGUGAUUGGUGUUAGGAAGGACAUCCAGUCAUAGAAACCAUGCGAAAACAAACAGUUGAAGUCUGAUGAAGCUCUCUGGCUUGCCAGCUCCUAUCAACUCAUAUCAGCAUGAAAACCGGAUGCUAAAUGAUGAUGACGACAUGUAGUGAGAGACAGAAACAGUCAUGUGUGUGUGUGUGUGUGUGUGUGUGUGUGUGUGUGUGUGUGUAUCUGUGUGUCUUCACAUAGACGCUCUGAGCAUUGAUGCAUCGUUCAUGUCUCACAUGAUCAGUAUGUUCUGUAGCCCAGCAAUUUCAUUUGAAGACCAAUGGGGUGGGGCAGAAGAACUAACAGUACCUUACUUGCAAAACAAGCGCAGGUUUGCAGCAGGAAAGGCAUCCAGCCAUUGAAUGUUGUCUCAGUACAUCUCACCUAACACUUGCCAAGGUGGAAAAAGCAAAUAUAAAAGAACAAUAGCAGAGUGUAUCGAGGACCCCAUAAGCCAACGUGCCCCUUGAGGGAGACUUGACUGCCAUUUCUCUAGUUGGUUCAUCAACUAUUCUGAGCAUCAUCCAGUCGCGUGUGGAAAGAGAGAAUGUAAUAUUCUAAGUUGGUGCAAGUGUAUAAAGUUUUCCAUCUACCUGUUAUGUAUAUAUAAGUGUGUUUCAGUGUGUAUGUAUCACAUCUAUGUGUAUUUAUCUAUGAGUAUGUGCAUGUGUGUGUUCAUAUAUGGCCAAUUAAUUUCCAUGUUAAUCCAACCCAACCCUUGUACAAAAGAAAAAUCCCGGAACUUAUUAAUUUAAUUAACCACAAUGAACUAAUUUCUUUUCUUCAUAAAGCUAACCCCAUCACCACCACCACUACCACCAUAGCCACCACCAACACCAUCACCCCCCCACCACCAUCACACCCAUCACCACCACCACGACUACUACUAGUACUUCCGAGACAUUACUACAGCAACUAAUCACCUUUUCCUCACCACCACCACCACAUGACCACAACCACAAAAUCACCGCCAACACCAUCACACCCACUACCACCACCACCACCGUAACUACUACAGCACUUCCGAGACAUUGUUACAGCAACUAAUCACCUCUUCCUCACUACCACCAUAACUUAAACCACCUCCACCAUCACCACCACUUUUACUACUUUCUCUACCACUCUUGCUACCUCCACCUUAACUAUCAUUGACUCCUCUUCCGCCAUCAUCAAGAGACCACAAUCGAAACCACCUCCACCAUCAUUAAUACUUUCACUGGUGCUAUGACCUUGCUUUUAUCCUCACAGCCACCACCACCACCACCACAACCGGCAAAUCCACUAUUAAUAUUGCUAUCACUACUGCCACCAUUACCACCACUAUCACUAUCAUCACCACCACCACCACCACCACCAGCAAAUCCACUAUUAAUGUUUGCUAUCACCACCACCAUUGCCAUCACUACUACUGCCACCACUAUCACCAUCACCACCAUCAUCACCAGCAAAUCCACUAUUAAUAUUGCUACCACCAGUACCAUCGCCACCACCACUAUCACUACCUCCACCAUCACCACCUCCAUCACCAUCACCAUCACCACCAUCACCACCACCUUUCGUCCCUGUCACCCUCUCAUUUCCCCAUGCUGUUCUCGGUACUGAAUUCUGUUUGAUAUUGUUUGGACAGUUAAAAGUCUUUCAAGUCUUAGAGAAACUGUCUUCAUCACUUUCGGAAUUGGUUAAAUUGGUAAACUUAAUUAAUUCGACAUUUAUUUAUUUAUUUAAGGUUUGUUGGGAGUUUUUGCAUUUUCUUUUUCUCUUUUGUUUUCCAUUUCAUGUUUAUUUUUUUUAUAUAGAAUUUGUUUAAAUAUAUUUUUAUUUAUUUAUUUGUAGGAUCACUUCAAUUUUUUUUAUUUAUUUAUCUAUUCAUUUGUUCUGGUCCAUUGUCUUCAUUUUCUGUCUGCCUUCCAUUCUGUCACAGGUUGGAUGAAUUGUCACCAUCCAAGUCAGUUCUUACUUGGAAUUAAUACUUGCCUAAAUGUGUCUGAGGACAUGUCGCACUUGUACUUUCCAUUUGUUACAUAGUUUCUUUAUCGUCAUCAUCAUCACCAUUUAGCAUAUGCUUUCCAUGCUGGCAUGGGUUGGACAGUUUGACCAAAGCUGGCAAGUUGGAGAGCUGCCUCAGGUUCUAGUCAUGUGUUUGGGCCUGGAUUCUAUGGCGGGAUGUCUUUCCUAAUGCCAACCACAUUACAGAGUGUUCUGGGUGCUUUUUAUGUGGAACCAGCACCAGUGCAUUUUACAUGGCACCAACACUGACAGGGUCAACAAGUAACUUACGAGACAAAAUCCCUCUCAACUGGGACAAGGGAGUUGUAGUGGCGAUGGUGGUGGUGGUGGGGUGCUUUUAUACCAGUUGAUGAGAGAUUAGAGAUAAUAGGGGGACAGAGGUUGGUGUUUUACUGUGGAGCAGAUACUCUGGAUGAAAAAGAAAAGGGGUGAGUUAGGGAGUAAGAAAGAGAGCAGGUGUGUCAGAAAGUAGGAUAAGGAGAGCAAUAUUGAGAAAGAUUGUGGUAAAGAUGUGCCUGGGGUGACCCUUGAGGGACAUUGGGUUGGGGAGUGGGGAAAAUAGGUUGAGGUGAUACAGAGAGGCAUGUCAGUGUAAAGAGCUUUUUCUUCACUUUCUGCUUGUUUCUUCUCCCUCUUUUAUUUCUUUCUUUUCAUCUCAUCAUUCAUAUUUUUUAUAGCUGCAUGGUUAUGAAGCUGCCUUCUCAACCCUAUGGUAGUGGGUUCGAUCCCACCAUGUGUCACCUUGAGCAAGUGUCUUCUAUUACAGCAAUGCUUCUUAAACUUUUUUCAUUCAUGACCCCAUUUUUCAUCAACAGAUUUUUUGUGACCCCAGGUUUUAAAUAUGUCUUUGUGAAAUAACAUAUAAACUGAAAUUCAAGUGUUUGAAUUUAAUUUUCACGACCCCAGGAUUUUACUUUGCAACCCCAAAUGGUGUCGUGACCCAUAAUUUAUGAAGCACUGUAUUAUAGCAUUUGUCCUUCCGUUUCAUAAUCUUUAUACCAUCUGAUUCUUCUUUACCAACUGUCUCACCUUAUUACAGUUUCUUGACAGUGAUACUUUUAGGAUUUCUAUUUCUGUUACUUCUCAAUAUACCACAUACGUCAUCAUCAUCAUCAUCGUUGUUGUUUUAAGUCUAUUUUCCAUGCUGGCAUGGGUUGGACGGUUUGAUUGAGGACUGGCAAGCCAGUAGGCUGCACCAGGUUCCAAUCUGAUCUAGCAAGAUUUCUACAGCUGGAUGCCCUUCCUAACACCAACCACUCUGAGAGUAUAGUGGGUGAUUUUUAUAUGUGCCACUGGCACGGUGACAUAUGUUUGUUUUUCAAGGAGAAAUCUUGUUGUUGCUACACAAGAAUAAAGAUUAUCUAUGAACAGCAUGUGACCUUCUCUCAACCAUUCUUUUAUAAAUGAAACAGUGAUGAAUUCAAAAUGUAUUAAACCAGGACCUGUAUCUUCUUUGCCUUUGUACAAUAUAAGCUUCCAGAUAUAGCCAUCAAUUGAACACAGUUUAUAAAAUUUCAGGUUAUAUAAUUUUAGGUAUGUAUUGCCACAAAAUUGUUCCACCACGAAACAGCACUAGACUUACAUCAAUUACAACUUUUUCACCCGGAGUGAACUUCUCAGAAUUUUCAGACAUCAAUUUGAUAAGUAGCCAUAAUUUGCACAAGCAAUCAGUAACAUCUGAUUGACUGUUUGCAAGCAUAAUGCAGGAACCAUAGAAUUAAUUCAAAUUUAUGUCUAGACAUAGUAUGCUGUAUCAGUUUAACUCCAUACAUUUUGCUUUAGACCAAUACCCUUCAAAUGCUGGCUAUUUGUUCAAAUCCAUCAAAGUUAUAAUUUCUAAGCGUGGGUGUGUUGUAAGAAGAUUGCUUCCCAACCAUAUGGUUCCGUGUUCAGUCUCACUGUAUAGCACAUUGGAUCAAUGUCUUUCACUAUAGCCUUGGGCUGACUAAAGCCUUGUGAGUGGAUUCGGUAGAUGGAAACUGAAAGAAGCCCAUCAUAUAUAUAUAGGCAUAUAUUUAUUUGUGUGUGUCUUUGUGUCCAUGUUUUUUUCCCACCACCACCACUUGAUAGCUGAUGUUGGUGUGUUUACAUCCCUGCAACUUAGCAGUUUGACAAAAGAAACUGAUAGAAUAAGUACUAGGCUCAAAAAAGCCCUGGGGUUGAUUCGUUCAACUAAAGCCUUUCAAGGCUGUGCCCCAGCAUGGGCACAGUCAAAUGACUGAAACGAGUAAAAAAUAAAAGAUAAAAGAUCUGCUGAUAUACCCUCCAGCCUUCAUCAGGUGUCUUGGAGAAAUUUCGAACCUGGGUUCUCAUUCCUAAGGUAUUUUUCGAUGUUGUUGUUAUUAUUAUUAUUAUUAUUAUUAUUAUUAUUAUUAUUAUUAUUAUUCAGGUCGCUGCCUGGAAUUGAACUCGG